rnacentral:rRNA from 1 species
AUGCUGCGCCCUUGUCUCUCGAUCCAGCCGCCCCCAAAUUAUUGUUGGGGGGCAAAACGCUCGCGGACGAACAACAACAACUGGAGGGACUGGUCCAACCUAGGCGAUGGGCCGUUAGGUCUGAUCGCUGAGCGCGUUCUCGCAUUUGACGUCGCCGACUAUCUCCGCUUCCGUGCCGUGUGCCGUCCAUGGCGGCACUGUUCCACAGAACCGCACACCCAUGGCGGGCUUGACCGCCGGUUCCAUCCCUGGCGGUGGGUACUGCUCCGCGAACCACUAGCUGCUCCAAACCGCCGUUGCUUCCUGAACUCCUUCACCGGCGAGUUCAUCCAAGUGGACCUCCCGGAGCUCCUUGACCAUGAGCUUCUUGCUGUCACCCCGGAGGGCCUCCUUGUCCUGCUCCACGACCACAACCACGUCCGCCUGCUCAACCCGCUCACGCGUCACGUCACAGAGCUACCACCGCUCACCAUGCUGCUUCCUUCUAAAGACCAUGUCAUGCUUUCCUAUUUCAACAUAGACGACUUCUUAGCGACAGGCUCUGGCAUUGCUAGUGAUGAUUCAACAGUGGUGCUCUGCUUCAAUAGGUUCCGCAUUCUUGGCAUGGCAAAGCCCGGUGAUGACCACUGGAUUUUGCUGAAGUACAACCAUGAUGGGUUCACAGACACACCCUUAAUGUUUGCAGGGCGCUUCUACUAUGUUAAGGUUGAUGGUGUCAUGGCGCUGCAAAUCUGUCCAAACCAGCCACCACGGCUGGAGGUGGCUGCCAAGCUGAAUAUGCAUGUCUCACCAAUUUCGGAAGGGUUGCACCUCGUCAACAGUUGUGGUGACUUGAUGCUGAUCCACCGUCAGAUUGUUCCAUUGACGUCGCCGGAUAAAUCGUGUUAUCAAUAUGACAUGUAUCGAGUGAAUUUGGAUACCGGAACACUAUUACCAGUCAAGAGCUUGGGUGGUGGCGCAGGGCGAGCGAUGUUCUGGGGCAUGCAUUGCUCUUUCUCGGUGCCUCUAGAGGUUUUUCCCUCUGGUUCCAUUAGCGCUGACACCAUCUACCCGAGCUUUGACUUUACUGAGAGAAGCCUGUUAGAAGUUGGAGCAUAUCAUCUCCUGGAUGGACACAUCGAACGACCAUCUGGCUUGUUGCAGCGUCCGAAUACUCUGGUUGACUGUCUAUCUUUGUCCAAUACGGUCGAUGAUGAGUAG